rnacentral:rRNA from 1 species
GGGGGCAACCNUGAUUCCAGCAAUGCCGGCGUGAGUGAAAAAGCCCUUCGGGUUGUAAAGNUNUUUUNUCAGGGAAGAAACACCGGNUNUAACACAGUCCGGGAAUGACGGUACCUGAAGAAUAAGCACCGGCUAACUACGUGCCAGCAGCCGCGGUAAUACGUAGGGUGCAAGCGUUAAUCGGAAUUACUGGGCGUAAAGCGUGCGCAGGCGGUUAUACAAGACAGGCGUGAAAUCCCCGGGCUUAACCUGGGAAUGGCGCCUGUGACUGUAUAGCUAGAGUGUGUCAGAGGGGGGUAGAAUUCCACGUGUAGCAGUGAAAUGCGUAGAUAUGUGGAGGAAUACCAAUGGCGAAGGCAGCCCCCUGGGAUAACACUGACGCUCAUGCACGAAAGCGUGGGGAGCAAACAGGAUUAGAUACCCUGGUAGUCCACGCCCUAAACGAUGCUGACUAGUUGUUCGGGAUUUACAUCCUGAGUAACG